rnacentral:lncRNA from 1 species
UGCGCAUAUAAACGCAAGCUACACAAAAGUGACAUGGACAAGAACAGCGCAAGCCCUUUACAUGCAGUGGAGCCGCCGUAUCUCGCCGUUAAAGAUAUGCGUACUCGUAAGUGGCAUUUUAAUUUCACGUUGUGUAAUGCAUGACUGUCUUUUUCAAGUGAACAAAGGUCGCUUUGUAUUGUGUAAAUGGUUUUGCAACGUGUGAUAAACUCCUUGUCUUUCGGGCUUAUUUUUUCUGACAGGAAGAAAAAAAAAGAGGCUUUACAUGAGAACGGAUCAAGCGUUCGAGAGUUGGGACAGGGAAAUGAAACACUGGAACGACACAGCUUAAAUUGAAGAACAGUGUGCGAAUGACCUGCUACGCUCGGAACUGUUAUCACCAUUCGGGAAGAAAUUGGAUGAAAAAACAUAACUGUAAAUACCUGUAUGAUAUACGUCUGGUGCAUUGCAGGAU